GUGCUCACUUCACCAGCACAUAUACUAAAAACUGGAAUGAUUCAGAGAAGAUUCGCAUGGCCCCUAUGCCAAGGAUGACGUGCAAAUUCGUGAAGUGUUCCAUUUUUUU